rnacentral:rRNA from 1 species
GCGAGUGAGCGGCAAAAGCUCAAAUUUGAAAUCGGCCACCAGGUCGAGUUGUAAUUUGUAGAUUGUAUCUUGAGAGCGGAUUAAAGUCUGUUGGAACACAGCGCCUUAGAGGGUGACAGCCCCGUAAAAUCUAUUCUCAUUGUAAGAUACUUUCGAAGAGUCGAGUUGUUUGGGAAUGCAGCUCUAAGUGGGAGGUAAAUUCCUUCUAAAGCUAAAUAUUGACGAGAGACCGAUAGCGAACAAGUACUGUGAAGGAAAGAUGAAAAGCACUUUGAAAAGAGAGUGAAAAAGUACGUGAAAUUGUUAAAAGGGAAGGGUAUUGAAUCAGACUUGGUGCUGUUGUUCAACUGUGUUUCGGCAUAGUGUACUCAGCAGUACUAGGCCAAGGUGGGGUGUUUGGGAGUGAAAAAGAAGUAGGAAGGUAACUCUUCGGAGUGUUAUAGCCUACUUUCAUAGCUCCUCAGGCGCCUCAGGACUGCGCUUCGGCAAGGACCUUGGCAUAAUGAUUCUAUACCGCCCGUCUU